CUGGCACAUAGCAUACACCUGACAGGUGACAGCUGUUAUUAUUAUUAUUGUAUCUUAUGAUCACUCACCUGCACCUGAAGGCAAAUCCACAGGGACUACUGAAGGAUGGCAGGAGAAUUCCGGCGCUCCUCUCCACAGGACCAGCUGGCAGGAGUCCUGGUUUGCCGACCUACCACUAUAGCUCCCCAGCUGAUUUGGAUGGUCAUCAUAUAUCUCACGUGAGGAGACCGAGCCUGGAGAGUUUGGGCCCAAGCAGGGAUUGCUCAGGACUCCUUCCCGAGAGUCUGUCAACACCCUUCUUCUCCUUCUUCCCAUCCUGGCUUGGCCUCUGGCUCUCAGAACCACUUUGUCCUGCACAGUUUUUGCCUUCUGUUGGGGACGUCAAGCUAUGAGCCAGACAUUCCUCUGAGGGUCUCGGUGGGUGGGAGAAGCAGCCCCAUGUGCUGGCCACCAGCCCCUCCUGCCCUCUCUGAGGGUGAUCUAUGGCUUGUCAGAGGUGUGGGUUCUCGCCAUUUGCUGAAUAGAAAGCUUCUUUGUUCUUGGGAGUGAAAAUAACCCUAAGAUAAAUGUGGGGGCUGGAAGAGCUCAGGGAAUGUUGGGCUCUAGCUGCCUGGAGGCUCCUCCCUGAAGCAGAGGGUCUAAGGUUGGGAGAGACAGGAGCAGGUAGAUCAUGGUCAUGAGUCCUCUGGGGACUGUGAGCUGUGGCCCUUGGAGGGUGGCCAUGGGCUCUUCUCAAAUGCAACCCAGCUACCAACACCUGCCUGAAACUUACUUCCCUGGUCAGUAACCUUCCGUCAACCCAUGGAAAUUUCCUAUCCUUCGUCACUUAUUGGUUAAACAGGACCAACCUCUCCAUAACUUCCUCUACUUCCUGUCACCUGGAGGCUGCCCUCUGCUCCCCUAAAAAAAACUCCCUUUUAUCUUCUCUCUACUAUUUGUCUUCCCAUCCCCUUGCCUUCCUACUUGCCCCACGGAGCCUGCAUUUAGUUUUUCUGGCUCUUGUGGAGAAAGGACAGGACCCACCUCUGCACCUGGCUGCUGCAAACCCCAUAAAGUUCAGGGUAUGACUCUUCCAUGGACCGUAACCCCUCCCUUCCCUAAUCCGGCCCAGGCAGGCCUGAGUUGGAGGACGCUGGAGCUGGCAGAAGAGGAGAAUGGGGAGGGGGAUUGUUGUUUUGGGAUGUUAGUAAUC
rnacentral:lncRNA from 1 species